UGAACCAACCCAUAUAAGCACCAGAAAACAAAGACUAGGCCUUGUACCUUUUGCAUCAUGAUUUAGCCAGCACCCUCAAGCAAAGAGACCUUUAGUUUGAAACCCCGAAACCAGGUGAGCUACCCCGAGACAGCCUAUAUUAUUUAGGGCUAACCCGUCUCUGUGGCAAAAGAGUGGGAAGAGCUCCGGGUAGAAGUGACAGACCUACCGAACCUGGUGAUAGCUGGUUAUCUGAGAAGUGGAUAGAAGUUCAGCCUCAUACGCCCCAGAUCAAGAAACAUAUCAUCAAGAUACUCAAGGGAAAAAUACGAGAGUUAGUUGAAGGGGGUACAGCCCCUUUAACAAAGGAUACAACCUUCACAGGAGGAUAAAGAUCAUAAUAUAUAAAACAUACUGUUCUAGUGGGCCUAAAGGCAGCCACCUAAACAGAAAGCGUUAAAGCUCAGACAGAAGGAAGUUUAUUAUACCGAUAAAAAAUCUUACUCCCCUAAUUGUAUCAGGCCAACCCAUGCCCGCAUGGAAGAGAUUAUGCUAAAAUGAGUAACAAGAAGACCUGCUCUUCUCCCAGCACAAGUGUAAACCAGAUCGGACCAACCACUGGAAUUUAACGAGCCCAACCCAAGAGGGCAGUGUGAACAAUAAAAACCUCAAGAAGAGCUCACAGUUAAAAUGAUCGUUAACCCCACACUGGCGUGCUAUUUUAUAAAGGAAAGACUAAAGGAAGGGGAAGGAACUCGGCAAACACAAGCCUCGCCUGUUUACCAAAAACAUCGCCUCCUGCAACUGGAUUGAGUAUAGGAGGUCCAGCCUGCCCAGUGACUACGGGUUCAACGGCCGCGGUAUUUUGACCGUGCAAAGGUAGCGCAAUCACUUGUCUCUUAAAUAGAGACCUGUAUGAAUGGCUAGACG
rnacentral:rRNA from 1 species